rnacentral:misc_RNA from 1 species
GAUGUAGAACGGCAGCGAAAUGCGAUAAGUAGUGUGAAUUGCAGAAUUCAGUGAAUCAUCGAAUCUUUGAACGCACAUUGCGCCCCUUGGUAUUCCAUGGGGCAUGCCUGUUCGAGCGUCAUUUGUACCUUCAAGCUCUGCUUGGUGUUGGGUGUUUGUCUCGCCUCUGCGUGUAGACUCGCCUCAAAACAAUUGGCAGCCGGCGUAUUGAUUUCGGAGCGCAGUACAUCUCGCGCUUUGCACUCAUAACGACGACGUCCAAAAGUACAUUUUUACACUCUUGACCUCGGAUCAGGUAGGGAUACCCGCUGAACUUAAGCAUAUCAAUAAGCGGAGGA